UAAAAGGGCCUUUGCUAUUUCGUAGUACGUGGGUUCUAAAUUGGAAUCUGCGCGGAAUCGCUAUCAAGAGAUUUCGGAGGUGUAAUUUUUGCUAUUUCGUGGCAGUUGGUGCUCGAUUGGCCCGACGCCCAG